AGCAAACAGCAGAGGUGACACAAUCCAACAUAAACAGCCAGGCCUCUGAUGAAUUGGCAUGAAUCAGCGGGAUUGACCAGAAUCAGCUGGAAUGAUGCCAGGAGUUCUCUGCAAUACCUCUCUCAAUGGAGCAAAGUCUCCAGUUGAUGAACUGCUGCCUGUGGAAGAGGAAAUAAAACUCACAGCUACUGUUCCCAGAACGAGGCACUGUCUGCUUCCCACCACGAUGAUAAUGGACCAACCCUCUAAAACUGUGAGCAAGCCUCCGGUUAAAUGCUUUUCCUGUUAAGAGUUGCCUCAGUCAUGGGGUCUCCUCACAGCAACAGAACAGAAACUAAGACAGAUCAUUUUUUUUCACCUAUGUUUGGAACUUAGCUAUUUAAGACACGAUAUAUAUGUUUUCAUGUGUGUCCCCAUCUGCUUGUGAUGACGUCAAUACAUCUCCUAUAUCAGACUAGUAGAUCACACCCCA
rnacentral:lncRNA from 1 species